rnacentral:rRNA from 1 species
AAAUUGAAGAGUUUGAUCAUGGCUCAGAUUGAACGCUGGCGGCAGGCCUAACACAUGCAAGUCGAACGGUAGCACAGAGAGCUUGCUCUCGGGUGACGAGUGGCGGACGGGUGAGUAAUGUCUGGGAAACUGCCUGAUGGAGGGGGAUAACUACUGGAAACGGUGGCUAAUACCGCAUAACGUCGCAAGACCAAAGAGGGGGACCUUCGGGCCUCUUGCCAUCAGAUGUGCCCAGAUGGGAUUAGCUWGUUGGUGAGGUAACGGCUCACCAAGGCGACGAUCCCUAGCUGGUCUGAGAGGAUGACCAGCCACACUGGAACUGAGACACGGUCCAGACUCCUAGAACUGCAUUCGAAACUGGCAGGCUUGAGUCUUGUAGAGGGGGGUAGAAUUCCAGGUGUAGCGGUGAAAUGCGUAGAGAUCUGGAGGAAUACCGGUGGCGAAGGCGGCCCCCUGGACAAAGACUGACGCUCAGGUGCGAAAGCGUGGGGAGCAAACAGGAUUAGAUACCCUGGUAGUCCACGCCGUAAACGAUGUCUACUUGGAGGUUGUGCCCUUGAGGCGUGGCUUCCGGAGCUAACGCGUUAAGUAGACCGCCUGGGGAGUACGGCCGCAAGGUUAAAACUCAAAUGAAUUGACGGGGGCCCGCACAAGCGGUGGAGCAUGUGGUUUAAUUCGAUGCAACGCGAAGAACCUUACCUGGUCUUGACAUCCACGGAAGUUUUCAGAGAUGAGAAUGUGCCUUCGGGAACCGUGAGACAGGUGCUGCAUGGCUGUCGUCAGCUCGUGUUGUGAAAUGUUGGGUUAAGUCCCGCAACGAGCGCAACCCUUAUCCUUUGUUGCCAGCGRUYMGGYCGGGAACUCAAAGGAGACUGCCAGUGAUAAACUGGAGGAAGGUGGGGAUGACGUCAAGUCAUCAUGGCCCUUACGACCAGGGCUACACACGUGCUACAAUGGCRYAUACAAAGAGAAGCGACCUCGCGAGAGCAAGCGGACCUCAUAAAGURYGUCGUAGUCCGGAUUGGAGUCUGCAACUCGACUCCAUGAAGUCGGAAUCGCUAGUAAUCGURGAUCAGAAUGCYACGGUGAAUACGUUCCCGGGCCUUGUACACACCGCCCGUCACACCAUGGGAGUGGGUUGCAAAAGAAGUAGGUAGCUUAACCUUCGGGAGGGCGCUUACCACUUUGUGAUUCAUGACUGGGGUGAAGUCGUAACAAGGUAACCGUAGGGGAACCUGCGGUUGGAUCACCUCCUUA